UGGCCGUUCUUGCGACAACGGAGUUUCAAUUAGGUUAAGGAGGACGACUUUUUCUGGUCAAUCUCCAGCGUAAGCCGUUGUAGUGUCGAACCGAUAGGAUUUCUUUUCUCUUGCAAUGGAAAAUCAGCAACGUAACGGAACUCAAACCGGAUUCAAUCAAUGUCAUUAAAGUUUUCCUUAACUUCAUCUCCCCCACUCCUUCCAUGAUUCUUCAGCUCCCACCUAGCUUCCAGUCGGUGAAACUACAUAUAUAAAUAGCUGAGUCUUGAUUCCGUAAACCUCAUCAUUUUAUUCUUCACAUCAUAUAAACUCUAAAAACUUUUGUAGAGCACAAUGGAAAAGUCCUCUCGCCUGUGAGCUCUUGCAGGAAGCCCGAGACUUCACGGCGGAAGAUAAUCGUCGAAAAGGAGUGUGGCACAGUAGGAGGAAGAAAGCGGCGGCGAUGGAGGAGAGAAAGAGGAUGAAAGUGGUUAAGAAUAAAGAGAAAGCCAUUGAUGAUAGUGAGGAAAGGUAUUAAUGGUGGGUUGGACGGAGGUUUCUGCAUAAAGGAUGAAUUGAAGUUGGAAGUGCAGGAUCUACUGUCCGAUGGUUUCAGAUUGCUUUCUUUGCAAUUGGGGAAGCUUGAAGAUCAUCAACCACCAUCCCUACUUCAAAUGGAGUUACAAAACGUAGACAUAUUCUCAGGUAUUGAUUCCUUAAACCUCCACAUUCUUCAUUCAUUCCUAUUGUCGGAGAGUAGUCGUCGAUAGGUGCACAGGAGGUGGUGACGGUGAGAGAUCAGCUGGAGAAGAAGGAGCGAGAUCCAUGAUUAUCGAGUGAGAGGAGACAGAGCCAGAGAUUAACGACGCACAAGCAGAGACUUUGGACCUUGGAGUGAAGACCAGAUCUCCAAUCGAAAUCAAUGGUCAGAAUCGUCUCCGCUUAUGAACGACGGGGCCGAGAUUCACACGUGUAACUAACCACUGUUCCCGUAAGGAUCAAAAGCAAAAUCGAGCUUGCAAGAAAAUUCAUAGCGGUACCAGUGAGAGAGAGAGACCAGAACUCAGAGGUUUGUCCGCUUUGGGUCAAAGAUCAGAGAGAUAAUACAAUCAUUUUUUGCAAUGUGUAAUCUUUUUAUUCGUGUACAAACGUCAACUUUGCUUAAAUGAUUAUCUUUCCUAUGCCAUUAGUCGGGUUGUAUCAGUGAGGCCCAAUUUUUUUUCCUAAAAUUACAGGUGAAGCUAGACAAACAAUUUUUUUGGUUGAUGAUAUGACACUUACAAGGGAAGAAAUUGGUUUU